rnacentral:rRNA from 1 species
CGUGUAGGCGGUUUUAUAAGUCUGAUGUGAAAGCCCUGGGCUCAACCCGGGAAGUGCAUUGGAUACUGUAAGACUUGAAUACGGGAGAGGGCAGUGGAAUUCCUAGUGUAGGAGUGAAAUCCGUAGAUAUUAGGAGGAACACCGGUGGCGAAGGCGGCUGCCUGGACCGAUAUUGACGCUGAGACGCGAAAGCGUGGGUAGCAAACAGGAUUAGAUACCCUGGUAGUCCACGCCGUAAACGAUGAGAACUAGGUGUUGCGGGUAUUGACCCCUGCAGUGCCGUAGCUAACGCAUUAAGUUCUCCGCCUGGGAAGUACGGUCGCAAGACUAAA